rnacentral:tRNA from 3 species
GGAGGCGUGGCCGAGUGGUCGAAGGCACUCCCCUGCUAAGGGAGCAUGCGCGCAAAAACGUGCAUCGACGGUUCGAAUCCGUCCGCCUCCGCCA